rnacentral:rRNA from 1 species
UAGGGAAUCUUCCACAAUGGACGCAAGUCUGAUGGAGCAACGCCGCGUGAGUGAAGAAGGUUUUCGGACCGUAAAGCUCUGCUGUUGGUGAAGAAGGAUAGAGGUAGUAACUGGCCUUUAUUUGACGGUAAUCAACCAGAAAGUCACGGCUAACUACGUGCCAGCAGCCGCGGUAAUACGUAGGCGGCAAGCGUUGUCCGGAUUUAUUGGGCGUAAAGCGAGCGCAGGCGGAAGAAUAAGUCUGAUGUGAAAGCCCUCGGCUUAACCGAGGAAUUGCAUCGGAAACUGUUUUUCUUGAGUGCAGAAGAGGAGAGUAGAACUCCAUGUGUAGCGGUGGAAUGCGUAGAUAUAUGGAAGAAUACCAGUGGCGAAGGCGGCUCUCUGGUCUGCAACUGACGCUGAGGCUCGAAAGCAUGGGUAGCGAACAGGAUUAGAUACCCUGGUAGUCCAUGCCGUAAACGAUGAGUGCUAAGUGUUGGGAGGCUUCCGCCUCUCAGUGCUGCAGCUAACGCAUUAAGCACUCCGCCUGGGGGAGUACGACCGCAAGGUUGAAAC